UACGUAGGGGGCUAGCGUUGUCCGGAAUCAUUGGGCGUAAAGCGCGUGUAGGCGGUCCGGUAAGUCCGCUGUGAAAGUCGGGGGCUCAACCCUCGAAUGCCGGUGGAUACUGUCGGGCUAGAGUGCGGAAGAGGCGAGUGGAAUUCCUGGUGUAGCGGUGAAAUGCGUAGAGAUCUGGAAGAACACCAAAGGCGAAGGCAGCGUCCUGGCGAAUAUCUGACGCUCAUGUGCGAAAGCCAGGGGAGCGAACGGG
rnacentral:rRNA from 1 species